GAGAUCCCUUCCUGCCUGAGGUCUUCUAAAGAUUCAGUAUCCCUGAAGAAGUGACUGACAGACAGGUACAUGACUUAUAUUUGUCUUAGGAAAGGAAAUUGAGGUUGGCGCAAGCAGGGAGAUGGCAAAGUCACUGUGAUCCUUGGGAAGGGAAAAGUGCAAGGCUCUGCGCAACGGGUGAAUGGCACAGACCUGAAGUUAAGCAAACCAAGUUAGAAGUCUCAAAACCAUCGUCCCGUGGUCCGGGAGGUGCUCUGAUGCCAACAUCCUUUGGGUAGGACGUGGAAGAGCUUCCACGACUGUCCCAGGAGGCAGCAGGGGCAAUGCAUCCCGAGCAGUGACUGAGGGAAUACCAUCCAAGGCUGAGAGUCUGCUGAGAAGCACGAAUCCUGGUAGCUUUGUUUUGUACAGGCUGCCGGUAGCCCACCCCAAGCUAUCCAAAAUGAAUGCACAGCUGUUCCCUCAAAGCAGACAGAUGCUCUGUGCCUUCUGAGGGUGAGGACUUCAGAAUGCAUUGCAAAAGGAAACGGCCCUUUUCUUGAGUAACGAAGGUGUAUCGCUGCCAUCCCAGGCGUGGGAGAUGCUGCCAUGUACUUGGAUGGAGUCCACACAUGGCUCUUAAAGGAAGAAAAAAUAGAGAGAGAGGCACAUAAUGAGGGCUGGCAUGCAUGUACUUAAGGCCAUCUGCUAAUGUGAUCUGUUGCCAGUUUGUAGAGCUAGGAGCCCAUCUCCGCAGGUCACGAAUGCCAAGAUGAGAUGGGCUUUCAAUAGGCACUUGCAUGUGCUAAUGGCUGCUGUUUAUCAGAAAAAUCUUCCCAGCAAUGAAAGCUAUUGAAGGAGGACUGUGAUGCUUCUUGGGAUCAGCAACCACAUCCGCUGCUAGCAGUGGAAGGUUCCUGCCGUUCCUUAAUGCCUCUGCCCCUGUAGGGCAGCCCAAAGCAGGAUCCUUCCCUCCCCUGCUUGUCUCUGAGCUCUGGCCUAACCUCAGAGGACAGCUAAAUAAGGAGCAAUGAGCCGCUGUUACAGCUACUGGAUGCCUUAAAAACCAGUAUGUUGUUGGUAAAAAGAGCCCUGAGAAAAUCAGAUUUACUUCCUAAUCAGCGCCUGGCAAUGUCAUCAUCAUACAUUUGC
ensembl:lncRNA